AUGCUCACUUCGUCAGCACAUAUACUAAAAUUAGAAAAAUACAGAGAUUAGCCUGGCCCCUGUGCAAGGAUGACAUGCAAAUUUGUGAAGUAUUUUAUAUUUGU
rnacentral:snRNA from 1 species